rnacentral:sRNA from 1 species
GAGCACGAGAGCUGUUACUGUCCCAGAAA